UUUCUGGAAUAAACUGAAACCAUGGGAAGAAUGUAAGGAGCCUCAGAGGAUGACUGGGGAGAAGGGGCCUUCAGCAACUAAUAUGGAAACAUAAACCAGAGAGUGAUGCAUUCCUCUGCCUACCACCAGAUGCUCCAAUGGAAGCAUCAUUCGCAGGGAGGAUGCUUGGAAUUACGAACGAGAUCAAGAAGCAGAUGGAAAGCACCCAUGUGCUCCACGUCCUGCUGACUGCUUUUAAAGCAAGUAAAAGUUCAUCUGCUCCUUCAUGUGUUGAUUAAUAAACAGUGAUCACUCGAAACAACUAUGAUGCAGCUUUGGAAAAGCACUGUUUAAAAUGACUGGGUGAUUGGUCUCAUUCAAGGCUGACAAACAGAUUUUCAUGGAAACAUCAACCCUAACACAGUGUAUAGGAAAAUAUCAGUAGUAAACAUCCCAGAGGUAUGGUGUGAUGUGAAAUCAAUCCAACUAGUAAGUCUACUUCAUGUUCAGGAAACUGUAUUGAAUACUGUUAGUAGGUGUAUGUGAUGGUUAAUCUCAAUCACCAACAUACUGAGAUUUAAAAUCAACACAGAAACAAAUCUCUGGGAAUGGAUGUGAGAAGUUACACAGAGUGGAUUACUGAAGGUAGGAAGACCCGCCCUUCAUAUGGAUGCUCCCUGACCCUGGGCUGGAACCUCAGAAUGAAUAAAAAUGAAAAAGCAA